CUACGGGAGGCACCAGUGGGGAAUAUUCGGCAAUGGGCGAGAGCCUGACCGAGCCAUGCCGCGUGAGUGAUGAAGGCCUUAGGGUUGUAAAACUCUUUCGCCGGUGAAGAUAAUGACGGUAACCGGUAAAGAAGCCCCGGCUAAUUUCGUGCCAGCAGCCGCGGUAAUACGAAAGGGGCAAGCAUUGUUCGGAAUUACUGGGCGUAAAGCGCGCGUAGGCGGCCUAUCAAGUUAGGGGUGAAAUCCCGGAGCUCAACUCCGGAACUGCCUCUAAAACUGAUAAGCUAGAGGAUGCGAGAGGAAAGUGGAAUUCCGAGUGUAGAGGUGAAAUUCGUAGAUAUUCGGAAGAACACCAGUGGCGAAGGCGACUUUCUGGCGCAUAUCUGACGCUGAGGUGCGAAAGCGUGGGGAGCAAACAGGAUUAGAUACCCUCGUAGUC
rnacentral:rRNA from 1 species